rnacentral:rRNA from 1 species
CCUACGGGAUGCAGCAGUAGGGAAUAUUGGACAAUGGGGGCAACCCUGAUCCAGCAAUGCCGCGUGAGUGAUGAAGGCCUUAGGGUUGUAAAGCUCUUUUACCAGAGAUGAUAAUGACAGUAUCUGGGGAAUAAGCCCCGGCUAACUCCGUGCCAGCAGCCGCGGUAAUACGGAGGGGGCUAGCGUUGUUCGGAAUUACUGGGCGUAAAGCGCACGUAGGCGGCGAUUUAAGUCAGAGGUGAAAGCCCGGGGCUCAACCCCGGAACUGCCUUUGAGACUGGAUUGCUUGAAUCCGGGAGAGGUGAGUGGAAUUCCGAGUGUAGAGGUGAAAUUCGUAGAUAUUCGGAAGAACACCAGUGGCGAAGGCGGCUCACUGGACCGGGAUUGACGCUGAGGUGCGAAAGCGUGAGGAGCAAACAGGAUUAGAUACCCCCAUAGUC